rnacentral:rRNA from 1 species
UGGGGAAUCUUCCGCAAUGGACGAAAGUCUGACGGAGCAACGCCGCGUGAGUGAUGACGGCCUUCGGGUUGUAAAGCUCUGUGAUCGGGGACGAAUGGCUGGUAUGCUAAUACCAUAUCAGAGUGACGGUACCCGAAUAGCAAGCCACGGCUAACUACGUGCCAGCAGCCGCGGUAAUACGUAGGUGGCAAGCGUUGUCCGGAAUUAUUGGGCGUAAAGCGCGCGCAGGCGGCUUCUUAAGUCCAUCUUAAAAAGUGCGGGGCUUAACCCCGUGAUGGGAUGGAAACUGGGAGGCUGGAGUAUCGGAGAGGAAAGUGGAAUUCCUAGUGUAGCGGUGAAAUGCGUAGAGAUUAGGAAGAACACCAGUGGCGAAGGCGACUUUCUGGACGACAACUGACGCUGAGGCGCGAAAGCGUGGGGAGCAAACAGGAUUAGAUACCCUGGUAGUCCACGCCGUAAAACGAUGAAUACUAGGUGUAGGAGGUAUCGACCCCUUCUGUGCCGGAGCUAACACAAUAAGUAUCCGCCUGGAAGUACGAUCGCAAGAUUAAAAC